rnacentral:rRNA from 2 species
GUCUACGGACCAAAGUGUGGGACCUUCGGGCCACAUGCUAUCGGAUGCGCCUACGUGGGAUUAGCUAGUUGGUGAGGUAAUGGCUCACCAAGGCGACGAUCUCUAGCUGGUUUGAGAGGAUGAUCAGCCACACUGGAACUGAGACACGGUCCAGACUCCUACGGGAGGCAGCAGUGGGGAAUAUUGGACAAUGGGCGCAAGCCUGAUCCAGCCAUGCCGCGUGUGUGAAGAAGGCCUUCGGGUUGUAAAGCACUUUCAGCGAGGAGGAAGGGAUGUACGUUAAUAGCAUGCAUUUUUGACGUUACUCGCAGAAGAAGCACCGGCUAACUCUGUGCCAGCAGCCGCGGUAAUACAGAGGGUGCAAGCGUUAAUCGGAAUUACUGGGCGUAAAGCGCACGUAGGCGGUUUUUUAAGUCAGAUGUGAAAG